GACGAACGCUGGCGGCGUGCUUAACACAUGCAAGUCGAACGGAAAGGCCCUGCUUUUGUGGGGUGCUCGAGUGGCGAACGGGUGAGUAACACGUGAGUAACCUGCCCUUGACUUUGGGAUAACUUCAGGAAACUGGGGCUAAUACCGGAUAGGAGCUCCUGCUGCAUGGUGGGGGUUAGAAAGUUUCGGCGGUUGGGGAUGGACGCGCGGCUUAUCAGCUUGUUGGUGGGGUAGUGGCUUACCAAGGUUUUGACGGGUAGCCGGCCUGAGAGGGUGACCGGCCACAUUGGGACUGAGAUGCGGCCCAGACUCCUACGGGAGGCAGCAGUGGGGGAUAGUGCACAAUGGGCGGAAGCCUGAUGCAGCAACGCCGCGUGCGGGAUGACGGCCUUCGGGUUGUAAACCGCUUGCGCCUGUGACGAAGCGUGAGUGACGGUAAUGUGUAAAGAAGCACCGGCUAACUACGUG
rnacentral:rRNA from 1 species